CACACUGCUAUCGGGAUAGGACUAAGACAUGCUAGUCGUGCGCUUCCUAGCCAAUUUGGGAGCGCGGCGCACAGCUCAGUAACACGUGGCUAAUCUGCCCUUGGGACAAGAACAACCCCGGGAAACUGGGGCUAAUUCUAGAUAGGUGAAGAACUCUGGAAUGAGUCUUCGCUUAAAAGAGGCUGGGGUUAUGCUCUCCAGUUUCGCCCAAGGAUGAGGCCGCGGCCGAUCAGGUUGUUGGUGAGGUAAUGGCUCACCAAGCCUUUUACCGGUGCGGGCCGUGAGAGCGGGAGCCCGGAGAUGGGCACUUAGACAAGGGCCCAGGCCCUACGGGGCGCAGCAGUCGCGAAAACUUUGCAAUAAGCGAAAGCUUGACAGGGCUAUCCCGAGUGCCAUCCGCUGAGGAAGGCUUUUACCCAGUCUAGAACGCUGGGGGAAUAAGGAGAGGGCAAGUCUGGUGUCAGCCGCCGCGGUAAUACCAGCUCUCCGAGUGGUGUGGAUGUUUAUUGGGCCUAAAGCAUCCGUAGCUGGCCAGGUGAGUCCCCUGUUAAAUCCACCGAAUUAAUCGUUGGAUUGCGGGGGAUACUGCUUGGCUAGGGGACGAGAGAGGCAGACGGUAUUUCCGGGGUAGGGGUGAAAUCCUAUAAUCCCGGGAAGACCACCAGUGGCGAAGGCUGUCUGCUAGAACGCGCCCGACGGUGAGGGAUGAAAGCUGGGGGAGCGAACCGGAUUAGAUACCCGGGUAGUCCCAGCUGUAAACGAUGCAGACUAGGUGUUUGGACGGCCACGUGCCGUUCUAGUGCCGCAGGAAGCUGUUAAGUCUGCCGCCUGGGGAGUACGAUCGCAAGAUUGAAACUUAAAGGAAUUGGCGGGGGAGCAC
rnacentral:rRNA from 1 species